rnacentral:misc_RNA from 1 species
AAAGUCGUAACAAGGUUUCCGUAGGUGAACCUGCGGAAGGAUCAUUAAUGAAAAAUAGGACGUUCUUUUUAGAAGUCCGACCCUUCAUUUACUUUACACUGUGCACACACUUCUUUUUCACCCAUUUUUAAACACUAUAGUAUAAGGAUGUACCAGUCUCGUAAUUGAGCAUAAAUAUAAAAUAAAACUUUCAGCAACGGAUCUCUUGGCUCUC